rnacentral:rRNA from 1 species
CGCUGGCGGCGUGCCUAAUACAUGCAAAUCGAACGGUCUUUCUAUGGAAGCUUGCUUCCACUGAGAAGAUAGUGGCGAACGGGUGAGUAACACGUGGGUAACCUGCCCAUAAGAGGGGGAUAACAUCCGGAAACGGGUGCUAAUACCGCAUAGUUUUCUUGAUCGCAUGAUUGAGAAAGGAAAGACGGCCUUUGUGCUGUCGCUUAUGGAUGGACCCGCGGCGUAUUAGUUAGUUGGUGAGGUAACGGCUCACCAAGACGAUGAUACGUAGCCGACCUGAGAGGGUGAUCGGCCACAUUGGGACUGAGACACGGCCCAAACUCCUACGGGAGGCAGCAGUAGGGAAUCUUCCGCAAUGGACGAAAGUCUGACGGAGCAACGCCGCGUGAGUGAAGAAGGUUUUUCCGGAUCGUAAAACUCUGUUGUCAGAGAAGAACAAGUUGGAGAGUAACUGCUCCAGCCUUGACGGUAUCUGACCAGAAAGCCACGGCUAACUACGUGCCAGCAGCUGC